rnacentral:lncRNA from 1 species
AAUAAGUAAAACCCUGAAAAUAAACUAAAAUGAUAUUGAAUUCUAGUCCCCUAAUGUUCUGGAGUCCUUAUAACCGAGAAUCAGUAUAUGUUUGUUUUAAUAUAACAGUAGAACUUGAUCCGCACGUACGUACAGGUGUUCAUUUUCACAUUUUUAUAAAAAAAUUAAUGAAAUUUUUGAACACAUAAAUUAUUUAGAUAUCUUUUAGAUAUUAACAAAUCUAUCCGGACCCGGAAAGAUCCGAGUCAGAACCCCGUCCGAAAAUUUAUAAUAUCCAAAAAAAUUUUAAUUUUAAACUCAAUAAUUCGAUACCUAAAAAACUGAUCCGUACCUGAACCG